UGGGGAAUAUGGCACAAUGGGCGCAAGGCUGAUGCAGCCAUGCCGCGUGUAUGAAGAAGGCCGGCGGGGUGUAAAGGACGGUCAGGCGGGAGGAAGGUGGUAAGGUUAAUAACCUUAUCAAUUGACGUUACCGACAGAAGAAGCACCGGCGAACUACGUGCCAGCAGCCGCGGUAAUACGGAGGGUGCAAGCGUUAAUCGGAAUUACUGGGCGUAAAGCGCACGCAGGCGGUUGAUUGAGUCAGAUGUGAAAUCCCCGGGCUUAACCCGGGAAUUGCAUCUGAUACUGGUCAGCUAGAGUCUUGUAGAGGGGGGUAGAAUUCCAUGUGUAGCGGUGAAAUGCGUAGAGAUGUGGAGGAAUACCGGUGGCGAAGGCGGCCCCCUGGACAAAGACUGACGCUCAGGUGCGAAAGCGUGGGGAGCAAACAGG
rnacentral:rRNA from 1 species